rnacentral:rRNA from 1 species
GACUACUGGGGUAUCUAAUCCUGUUUGCUCCCCACACUUUCGCACCUCAGCGUCAAUACCUGUCCAGGUGGCCGCCUUCGCCACCGGUGUUCCUCCUGAUAUCUACGGAUUUCACUCCUACACCAGGAAUUCCGCCACCCUCUCCAGGAUUCAAGCUUUGCAGUUUCAAAGGCAGUUCCACGGUUGAGCCGUGGGAUUUCACCCCUGACUUACGAAGCCGCCUACGUGCGCUUUACGCCCAGUAAUUCCGAAUAACGCUUGCACCCUCCGUAUUACCGCGGCUGCUGGCACGGAGUUAGCCGGUGCUUCCUCUAAAGGUACCGUCAAAACAAAGGCCUAUUAGACCAAUGCCCGUUCUUCCCUUCCGACAGAGGUUUACGACCCGAAAGCCUUCAUCCCUCACACGGCGUUGCUGCGUCAGGCUUUCGCCCAUUGCGCAAUAUUCCCCACUGCAGCCCCCCGUAGG